rnacentral:rRNA from 1 species
GAUGAACGCUGGCGGCGUGCCUAACACAUGCAAGUCGAACGGGGUGUGUUCGCCGUUGAAGCUUCGGCAGAGACAUGAACACACUUAGUGGCGGACGGGUGAGUAACGCGUGGGCAACCUGCCCCGUACCGGGGGAUAGCAGUUGGAAACGACUGAUAAUACCGCAUAAGCGCACGGUGUCGCAUGGCACAGUGUGAAAAACUCCGGUGGUACGGGAUGGGCCCGCGUCUGAUUAGCCAGUUGGCAGGGUAACGGCCUACCAAAGCGACGAUCAGUAGCCGGCCUGAGAGGGCGGACGGCCACAUUGGGACUGAGACACGGCCCAAACUCC